UUUAGACUUACCUUAAUUUUAUAUUUACUGCUCAUUUUGUAAUAAAAGACUAAAAAAAAUACUGAUUAGAUUCUCUGCGUCAACAGGUUGUACAAACAUGUGCGGGAAGCGACUGGUUAUAUCUACGCUUCAAUUCACACUUGGUUUAAGAAUUCCAACAUGUGAUAACCCACACAGUCCCGAAAACUUGAUGCAGCAGAGUAAAUUAAUAAAACUUUUUCAAUAUGUUUCCAAAUAUUGAGGAAAUGUCAAUAUUGUUGCAAUUUUCUAUCAAGUUGUAUGUAAAAGAGAAAUAAUAAAAAUAAAUAUGAUACCUGGCUUCCGACUUUA